rnacentral:rRNA from 1 species
GUACACAAGCUUAGCUGACAGGCUGAAUGCAGCUGAUGUCGUCCAAUCUCAGAAGCUAAAAACUCCUGGGCCUGGUUGUUACUUGGACAGGAGACAUUCUGGAUGUUGUAAAUG